GAUGAACGCUGGCGGCGUGCCUAAUACAUGCAGGUCGAGCGAACAGACGAGGAGCUUGCUCCUCUGACGUUAGCGGCGGACGGGUGAGUAACACGUGGAUAACCUACCUAUAAGACUGGGAUAACUUCGGGAAACCGGAGCUAAUACCGGAUAAUAUAUUGAACCGCAUGGUUCAAUAGUGAAAGACGGUUUUGCUGUCACUUAUAGAUGGAUCCGCGCCGCAUUAGCUAGUUUGUAAGGUAACGGCUUACCAAGGCAACGAUGCGUAGCCGACCUGAGAGGGUGAUCGGCCACACUGGAACUGAGACACGGUCCAGACUCCUACGGGAGGCAGCAGUAGGGAAUCUUCCGCAAUGGGCGAAAGCUUGACGGAGCAACGCCGCGUGAGUGAUGAAGGUCUUCGGAUCGUAAAACUCUGUUAUUAGGGAAGAACAAAUGUGUAAGUAACUAUGCACGUCUUGACGGUACCUAAUCAGAAAGCCACGGCUAACUACGUG
rnacentral:rRNA from 1 species